UACGUAGGGGGCUAGCGUUGUCCGGAAUCAUUGGGCGUAAAGCGCGUGUAGGCGGUUCGGUAAGUCAGGCGUGAAAGCCCCGGGCUCAACCCGGGAAUAGCGCUUGAUACUGUUGCGCUUGAAUCCAGGAGAGGAUGGCGGAAUUCCCAGUGUAGAGGUGAAAUUCGUAGAUAUUGGGAAGAACACCAGUGGCGAAGGCGCACUCUGGCCUGGAAUUGACGCUGAGGCGCGAAAGCGUGGGGAGCAAACAGG
rnacentral:rRNA from 1 species